CCUACGGGCGGCAGCAGUGAGGACUAUUGGUCAAUGGACGAGAAUCUGAACCAGCCAAGUAGCGUGAAGGAUGACUGCCCUAUGGGUUGUAAACUUCUUUUAUAUGGGAAUAAAAUGUUCCACGUGUGGGAUUUUGUAUGUACCAUAUGAAUAAGGAUCGGCUAACUCCGUGCCAGCAGCCGCGGUAAUACGGAGGAUCCGAGCGUUAUCCGGAUUUAUUGGGUUUAAAGGGAGCGUAGGUGGAUUGUUAAGUCAGUUGUGAACGUUUGCGGCUCAACCGUAAAAUUGCAGUUGAAACUGGCAGUCUGGAGUACAGUAGAGGUGGGCGGAAUUCGUGGUGUAGCGGUGAAAUGCUUAGAUAUCACGAAGAACUCCGAUUGCGAAGGCAGCUCACUGGACUGCAACUGACACUGAGGCUCGAAAGUGUGGGUAUCAAACAGGAUUAGAUACCCCAGUAGUC
rnacentral:rRNA from 1 species